UGGUCAGGAUAAGCGGCGGCUAACUCCGUGCCAGCAGCCGCGGUAAUACGGAGGGUGCGAGCGUUAAUCGGAAUUACUGGGCGUAAAGCGUUCGCAGGCGGUUUGUUAAGCGAGAUGUGAAAGCCCCGGGCUCAACCUGGGAACUGCAUUUCGAACUGGCAAACUAGAGUGUGAUAGAGGGUGGUAGAAUUUCAGGUGUAGCGGUGAAAUGCGUAGAGAUCUGAAGGAAUACCGAUGGCGAAGGCAGCCACCUGGGUCAACACUGACGCUCAUGUACGAAA
rnacentral:rRNA from 1 species